UCGGGAAUUUUGGGCAAUGGGCGAAAGCCUGACCCAGCAACGCCGCGUGAAGGAUGAAGUCUUUCGGGAUGUAAACUUCGAAAGAAUAGGAAGAAUAAAUGACGGUACUAUUUUUAAGCCCCGGCUAACUCCGUGCCAGCAGCCGCGGUAAUACGGGGGGGGCAAGCGUUGUUCGGAUUUACUGGGCGUAAAGCGUAUGUAGGCGGUUAGGUAAGUUACUUGUGAAAUCUCCGAGCUUAACUCGGAACGGCCAAGUAAUACUGCCAAACUAGAGUGCAGAAGGGGCAAUUGGAAUUCUUGGUGUAGCGGUGAAAUGCGUAGAUAUCAAGAGGAACACCAGAGGCGAAGGCGAAUUGCUGGGCUGACACUGACGCUGAGAUACGAAAGCUAGGGGAGCAAACAG
rnacentral:rRNA from 1 species